rnacentral:rRNA from 1 species
CCUUUAAUGUUUGAUGUUCUAACGUGGAUCCGUAAUCCGGGUUGCGGACAGUGUCUGGUGGGUAGUUUGACUGGGGCGGUCUCCUCCUAAAGAGUAACGGAGGAGCACGAAGGUUGGCUAAUCCUGGUCGGACAUCAGGAGGUUAGUGCAAUGGCAUAAGCCAGCUUGACUGCGAGCGUGACGGCGCGAGCAGGUGCGAAAGCAGGUCAUAGUGAUCCGGUGGUUCUGAAUGGAAGGGCCAUCGCUCAACGGAUAAAAGGUACUCCGGGGAUAACAGGCUGAUACCGCCCAAGAGUUCAUAUCGACGGCGGUGUUUGGCACCUCGAUGUCGGCUCAUCACAUCCUGGGGCUGAAGUAGGUCCCAAGGGUAUGGCUGUUCGCCAUUUAAAGUGGUACGCGAGCUGGGUUUAGAACGUCGUGAGACAGUUCGGUCCCUAUCUGCCGUGGGCGCUGGAGAACUGAGGGGGGCUGCUCCUAGUACGAGAGGACCGGAGUGGACGCAUCACUGGUGUUCGGGUUGUCAUGCCAAUGGCACUGCCCGGUAGCUAAAUGCGGAAGAGAUAAGUGCUGAAAGCAUCUAAGCACGAAACUUGCCCCGAGAUGAGUUCUCCCUGAGACUUAGAGUCUCCUGAAGGAACGUUGAAGACGACGACGUUGAUAGGCCGGGUGUGUAAGCGCAGCGAUGCGUUGAGCUAACCGGUACUAAUGAACCGUGAGGCUUAACCUU